rnacentral:rRNA from 1 species
GAUAAACGCUGGCGGCGCACAUAAGACAUGCAAGUCGAACGGACUUAACCAUUAGUUUACUAUUGGAGCGGUUAGUGGCGGACUGGUGAGUAACACGUAAGCAACCUGCCUAUCAGAGGGGAACAACAGUUAGAAAUGACUGCUAAUACCGCAUAUGCCUUGAGUUAUGCAUGUAACAAAAGGGAAAGGAGCAAUCCGCUGAUAGAUGGGCUUGCGUCUGAUUAGAUAGUUGGUGGGGUAAUGGCCUACCAAGUCGACGAUCAGUAGCCGGACUGAGAGGUUGAACGGCCACAUUGGGACUGAGAUACGGCCCAG